rnacentral:rRNA from 1 species
CCUACGGGAGGCAGCAGUGGGGAAUAUUGCACAAUGGGGGAGAGCCUGAUGCAGCGACGCCGCGUGAGUGAAGAAGUAAUUCGGUAUGGUAAGCUCUAUCAGCAGGGAAGAAAAUGACGGUACCUGACUAAGGAGCCCCGACUAACUACGUGCCAGCAGCCGCGGUAAUACGUAGGGGGCAAGCGUUAUCCGGAUUUACUGGGUGUAAAGGGGGCGUAGGCGGGAGUGCAGGUGUGGGGGGAAAGGCCGGGGCUCAACCCCCGGACCGCUGGGGAAACUGGACGGCUGGAGUGCAGGAGAGGUAAGUGGAAUGCGUAGUGUAGCGGUGAAAUGCGUAGAUAUUAGGAGGAACACCAGUGGCGAAGGCGGCUUACUGGACUGCAACUGACGUUGAGGCUCGAAGGCGUGGGGAGCAAACAGGAUUAGAUACCCGAGUAGUC